rnacentral:lncRNA from 1 species
CUACCAAUCCACCAAAAUUUCCAAAAGAAAGAAAAUCCCCAAAAUUCAUGUUAGCAGGGCCAAUCUCAGAUAAACCCCAGAUCUCUCCAAAAUUUUAAGCCAGUGUUAACAUUAGUAUAGAAUUUCAACAAAUGGGUCUCAAAUUUACAUUGAUAACUGAAAACCCACAUGAGAUACAACACGAAAAAACAAGUAAAUAAAUUGCUACUUCCCCUUUCUCAAGUUUAGUUG